rnacentral:rRNA from 1 species
GACGGAGGGUGCUAGCGUUGUUCGGAAUCACUGGGCGUAAAGGGCGCGUAGGCGGCCUUGCAAGUCGGUUGGUGAAAGCCCGGGGCUCAACCCCGGAGGUGCGGCCGAGACUGCAGGCUGGAGGCCGGAAGAGGAGGGUGGAAUACCCAGUGUAGAGGUGAAAUUCGUAGAUAUUGGGUGGAACACCGGUGGCGAAAGCGGCUCUCUGGUCCGGACCUGGACGCUGAGGCGCGAAAGCGUGGGGAGCAAACAGG